rnacentral:rRNA from 1 species
ACGAACGCUGGCGGCGUGCUUAACCCAUGCAAGUCGAACGGUAAGGCUCCAGCUUGCUGGGGUACACGAGUGGCGAACGGGUGAGUAACACGUGGGUGACCUGCCCUGCACUUCGGGAUAAGCCUGGGAAACUGGGUCUAAUACCGGAUAGGACCAUGGUGUGGAUACUGUGGUGGAAAGUUUUUUCGGUGUGGGAUGGGCCCGCGGCCUAUCAGCUUGUUGGUGGGGUAAUGGCCUACCAAGGCGGCGACGGGUAGCCGGCCUGAGAGGGUGGACGGCCACAUUGGGACUGAGACACGGCCCAGACUCCUACGGGAGGCAGCAGUGGGGAAUAUUGCACAAUGGGCGGAAGCCUGAUGCAGCGACGCCGCGUGGGGGAUGACGGCCUUCGGGUUGUAAACUCCUUUCACCAUCGACGAAGGGUUUCUGACGGUAGAUGGAGAAGAAGCACCGGCUAACUACGUG